rnacentral:rRNA from 1 species
UGCCAGCAGCCGCGGUAAUACGUAGGGGGCCAGCGUUGCUCGGAAUUACUGGGCGUAAAGGGUCCGUAGGCGGUGCGGCAAGUCGAUAGUGAAAUCUCUGGGCUUAACUCAGAGGCUGCUUCCGAAACUACCGUGCUAGAGUGCGAGAGAGGCAAGUGGAAUUGCGGGUGUAGCGGUGAAAUGCGUAGAUAUCCGCAGGAACAUCCGAGGCGAAAGCGGCUUGCUGGAUCGCAACUGACGCUGAGGGACGAAAGCUAGGGGAGCAAACAGGAUUAGAUACCCUGGUAGUCCUAGCCCUAAACCAUCACGACUUGGGGUUUGUCCUGUACGGGGCAAGUCCCGGAGCUAACGCGUUAAGUCGUGCGCCUGGGGAGUACGGUCGCAAGACUAAACUCAA